rnacentral:rRNA from 1 species
GUCCAUGCCGUAAACGAUGUACACUAGUUGUUGUGAGGCUCGACCUUGCAGUAAUGCAGUUAACACAUUAAGUGUACCGCCUGGGGAGUACGGUCGCAAGAUUAAAACUCAAAGGAAUAGACGGGGACCCGCACAAGCGGUGGAGCAUGUGGUUUAAUUCGACGAUACACGAAGAACCUUACCUGGACUUGACAUAGUAAGAACUUUCUAGAGAUAGAUUGGUGUCUGCUUGCAGAAACUUAUAUACAGUGCUGCACGGCUGUCGU